AAGAUACUCUUCAUCAGGCAACCCACACUGCUUCAAAACUUUGUUUCUUGCUUGAAUUUCAGAUCAUGGAAAUUACUUGCAAACGUUUCACGAAAUACCCCUCUUGGUGAUUUCUUCUUGUCAUCUGGUGAAAGUUCUGCAGGCUCUUCUUUGACACAAAGCUCAUUAAGGCGUGAUCGGUCCUGACCAUCUUAGGUCCACCCCAUGUAGAGUUGAUAUGGCUUCUGCUAUGAUAUGUGGAGGUAUGAUGACUCUAUGUUCUCUCUGUUGAUCAUAUUCAUAAUUAGAUCAUCUUCAAUCUCAUAAAGUCCCUUAAAAAAGGAUACUAAAGAACAAACUCAAAGCAAAACUUACCUUAAUGAUCAUGCUAUUUGGUCUCCCAGUUUCUGUCGUCUUGAAAAGGGAUUUCAACAUAUCUCGUUCAACUCCUCCCUGAAUUGUGUCAAGUUUCUAUCAUAAGCUAAAGUUUAUAGAUGAUAUCAUAAGCUCUAAUACAUGUGACAAAAAAGAUCAA